AGGAGACAGAUGUCAUUGGAAGGUGGUGUGUUACACGUAGUUCCCCAGAGGAAGGACAUGCCACGUUUCACAGGGCCACAUGGGGAAGCACCAGAGUCUGCCAGGAAGCGUCAAGAGCAAAAGGCGAAAGCAUGCACAAGAGGCUUUAUUGUGAUUUUCAGAGGAAGGAGGGAGAGGCAGUGUCAGCAAGCUAAGCAGGGUCUUCUCUGCCUGAAUGUUAGCUCCAGGAGGUCUGGCCAUCACUUGUCCUCUCACCGUUAUAGCUCCUUGCAUAUAAUAGGUGCUUGAUAAAGCAUGAGCAGG